CCUACGGGAGGCAGCAGUGAGGAAUAUUGGUCAAUGGCCGGAAGGCUGAACCCGCCAAGCCGCGUGAAGGACGAAGGUUCCAAUCAUUUUAAACUUCUUUUGUCAAGGGACAAAAUCAGGCUCGAGAGCCUGACCGAGGGUACUUGAAGAAACAGCAUCGGCUAACUCCGUGCCAGCAGCCGCGGUAAUCAUGAGGAUGCGAUCGUUAUCCGGAUUUAUGGGGUUUAAAGGGUGCGUAGGCGGAAUGUUAAGUCAGCGGUAAAAGCCCGGGGCUCAACCCCGGCGAGCCGUUGAAACUGGCUGUCUUGAGAUGUCGAGAGGUAUGUGGAAUGCGCAGUGUAGCGGUGAAAUGCUUAGAUAGUGCGCAGAACUCCGAUUGCGAAGGCAGCAUACCGGCGGCGAUCUGACGCUGAGGCACGAAAGCGUGGGUAUCGAACAGGAUUAGAUACCCUAGUAGUC
rnacentral:rRNA from 1 species